CAGUCGCCACGGGAAUACGAAGGAGGCUAGCGUUGUUCGGAAUUACUGGGCGUAAAGCGCACGUAGGCGGAUAUUUAAGUCAGGGGUGAAAUCCCGCAGCUCAACUGCGGAACUGCCUUUGAUACUGGGUAUCUUGAGUAUGGAAGAGGUUAGUGGAAUUGCGAGUGUAGAGGUGAAAUUCGUAGAUAUUCGCAGGAACACCAGUGGCGAAGGCGGCUAACUGGUCCAUAACUGACGCUGAGGUGCGAAAGCGUGGGGAGCAAACAGGAUUAGAUACCCGAGUAGUCCCUGUCUCUUAUAC
rnacentral:rRNA from 1 species